rnacentral:rRNA from 1 species
AGAGUUUGAUCCUGGCUCAGGACGAACGCUGGCGGCGCGCCUAACACAUGCAAGUCGAACGGAGCUUAAAGAGCUUGCUUUUUAAGCUUAGUGGCGAACGGGUGAGUAACGCGUGAGUAACCUGCCCUAGAGUGGGGGACAACAGUUGGAAACGGCUGCUAAUACCGCAUAAGCCCACGGUACCGCAUGGUACUGAGGGAAAAGGAUUUAUUCGCUUUAGGAUGGACUCGCGUCCAAUUAGCUAGUUGGUGAGGUAACGGCCCACCAAGGCGACGAUUGGUAGCCGGACUGAGAGGUUGAACGGCCACAUUGGGACUGAGACACGGCCCAGACUCCUACGGGAGGCAGCAGUGGGGGAUAUUGCACAAUGGGGGAAACCCUGAUGCAGCGACGCCGCGUGGAGGAAGAAGGUUUUCGGAUUGUAAACUCCUGUCGUUAGGGACGAUAAUGACGGUACCUAACAAGAAAGCACCGGCUAACUACGUGCCAGCAGCCGCGGUAAAACGUAGGGUGCAAGCGUUGUCCGGAAUUACU